ensembl:lncRNA
CUCUCCUCCUCCCUUUUCCUCUCCCUCUUUCCCUCUCUCUCUUCUCUCUACUGUCCUCCCCUCUGUCUCCUUUCUCCCCAUUGUCUUGAUUGUUUCUCUGGAGAACCCGGACCAGAGCAAGCUUCCUCUCUCUACUCCAGCUUCCUCUGACUUCCUGGAAUUUCUGCCCCUUCUUACUUGUGUCAUGUGUUCCUUGGCUACCUCAGCAUGAACUCUAAUAGGAGCAAUCACUAACCGAAAUCCCAGGAAAGUGGUUCUGGGGGCACCAUCACGGGUCACAGGGCAAGAGAGGUCAGCGUUGAAUCCUGGAGGGCUUCCCGCAAUCAGUCACUACACCAGCAGAGACUAAGGCAGGGGAUGCAGGUAACAUCCAGGGCAAAGCACUGUCGAACUACAAGCUUGCCUUCCAGGUUCAUCUUCCUGCAUUAAAGGGUUAAGCUGGGAUCAAGGGACGGCCAUCCUGAGGUCCCAUAGUGGGAGAAACACACAGCAGGCAGAGUCAGGCUCCCUAAGUGUGGAUCUGAAGCUGUCCCUAAGCAACCACAGAGUGCCAACACUCGAGAACAGGGCUGAGUCCUCUUCAUACUCGCUUUCACAACCACAUGUUUGCAUCUAGCAGGUGCUUAGAUUAGAUUCAUUGAAUUGGCAACAAUCAAAGCCUUCUUAUAUAUUGUUGCACUUUUCCAGAGAGUCUGAUCCACUGCCUCUUGGAGUAUUUUCAAGAUUCCAGAGGCUAAAAAUAUCGUCCCAAAGCUAUUGAAGGACUCUUCCAUGUAAGGAGCCCAGCUGAGACUCCCGAAGCUGAAAGUGUAUGCCCGCCAGGUGGCACCCUAACCCACAGAUGCCUUUUUAAGAAGAUGGACGAAUUCUCUUCCUUUCCUCCUAUUGUAGGAGGCUCCCUGCUCACAGAAAUGCUCUCUUCAGUCCAGCAGCCAGAUUCAGCUGCUCAAAGCAGUACAGAGUCUCAACCCUAGUCAAGGACGCUGUACAUCCCUGUGGGUGUGGCCGAGUUAGUAUCAGAGCGUGCAGGUUUGGAGUCCAGUGUGACACAGACUCUGCUUCUUUGGGCAAGAGUAGAAAAAAUAACAUAGAUAAUAUGUAAAAAUAUUUGGGUUGUAGAGGUGGAGUCAGCAUCACCCGAGGCCUCCUGAGUCCCCAGCAGCUACUGGAACAAGGUCAGCUGCUUCAAAUUCUGAGCCUGCUGUCUCCAUCAGUGGUCAGAGCUAAGAACAAGUAUCUCACAGUGUUGGUAGCCUUCAACUGGAACUGUAAAUACAACUUCUUGCCAGGGGCUCUAACACAGUAAACAUUCUGUUCCCAGAACCACAUAUAUCAUGUGUUCCUGGCCUCUAAAAUGGUGUUCAAUAAGCACUCAUUGUCGGCCUGCUUCAUGAAACAGUUUUACUGAUGAAGUAAUCGGAUAUGCAGAGGGUUAGGCAGCCCCUCCUCUAUGCCCAUCUACGCACUAGUGAAGCAAUGGCAGGCUGAUUCCAGGGCUGUGAUGUCUUAUGUAGGUGUGGCUGUCACACAUCACAAUUUAAGCAUUUUCAUAUGCAUUCGGAGCUUUCCUGAGUAGUGUAUACAGGCUGGGGAGGCAGUGGCAGGUCAAAGCCUUUUUCUCCAAAGUAGAGCCAGGCUGCUGGAAAAGGGACCUGCUGUGCCAGGCCAGGGGACACUGAGUUAAGGACCAGGAUAUGAAGGGGGAGCUCUACAAUAUAGAAUCAGCUGGAAGUCUGAUGCAGGCAUCAUCUCAUAGACAAAUGUGGCUUGCUUAGGUCUAGUGCUGUUCCUGUAGCCACUGGGCAAUGAACUCUGUUUAUAUGUACUGAGUAAGGGUCUCCUAUAUGCCAGGUCCCGGAAAAGAUGAAUGAACCCAGCUAGACCAUGGUUUAUGACAUAGCAGACUCAAGAACUACUUACUGCAGAGGAAUGGUUCAAAUGGAGGCCCAGACAAGCAAAUAAUUAUCAACGUGGAAAGCUGUACCCAAAGCCAGCGGUAAUUAAACCAGACAUUGUCUGCCAGGAGGGUUUGGAAGAUGGAGGGCAUUCUGAGUUCACGUGGGAGACUUGCAAGAAGUGACGGAGUUUGGGCAUGGGUGGGGGAAGGAAGUGGAAAAAACAAGAAAUUGGAACUUGGUUGGGGACAGAUUAUGCAAUAUGCCACAUUGACAAGACACAGCUCUGUACUGUGCUCAGUGAGGAACAGCCAGGUCUAUUUCAGAACCCUGCUGAAGAAUGAAGGUUGGCUUCUGGGGGUGGAGGGUGUGAGAAAAAGCCAUCACUGGUUUCCAGGUCUGAACCCCUCUGGACAUCAGGAAAAUGAAGAAAAUGGCUGUUCUUGUCUCUUGUGUUGUUGGAGGCUGACAUGAGAAUACACACAGAGCAUGGCCCUGUAAUACUAAUAAACCUUUGCAUCGUUGGGCUCUUUGCUAUCUGGAUGAAUAGUUAGGCACACAGGACGUUCUGUCUCUUAGACCUGGG